CCUCUACCCCCCCACGUGUUAACCCACGGUCUCACAGAUCUCAGCUCAAAACUGCAGAAUCAUUUCAGCAGGUGCUGUGAACCUACCUGCUCGUGAGAAAUAACUGUCAUCCCUCGAGUAAACCAUCAUGUCCUUACUUCCUACUGCUAAAUGUUCUGCUGCCCGUGAACAGACACUGAGGCAGGAACCCACUCCCCCUGGGAAACUGGAGGUUGAGACAGCCAGCCUAGAAGGUCAGAAAACAUCCACAUAAGAAGAGAUCUUCGCGUUUCAUUUACUGAGUAAGAAGAACUACUCCUGCAGCAUCCCAGUCAAGACAGAUCACCCCACAUAUGUUAUAGACACUUCAGGUGCCAAGCAAACAACUCUCAGGAAGGCUGGUUGGUAUCUUCUCACAAACUGCUACCUGCGGCUACAGCUAAACUUCAGUGGUACAGCUCUUGCCUGGUACCUGCAAGGCCUCCAGUUCAGUCUCCAACACUUCUCAGCCAAUAAACCUGUCCUUAAAUACACAAAAUUUAGAGAUAUAUGAGUAAACCUUUACAGACUGGCAUAUCAUGGAUUUUCUUUUCCUUACAGUAGAAGAACAUUAAUUUUUGUAAAUAUAUCACAGUUUUAGUCA